rnacentral:rRNA from 1 species
GGGUUGUGAGGUUAAGCGACUAAGCGUACACGGUGGAUGCCCUGGCAGUCAGAGGCGAUGAAGGACGUGCUAAUCUGCGAUAAGCGUCGGUAAGGUGAUAUGAACCGUUAUAACCGGCGAUUUCCGAAUGGGGAAACCCAGUGUGAUUCGUCACACUAUCAUUAACUGAAUCCAUAGGUUAAUGAGGCGAACCGGGGGAACUGAAACAUCUAAGUACCCCGAGGAAAAGAAAUCAACCGAGAUUCCCCCAGUAGCGGCGAGCGAACGGGGAGCAGCCCAGAGCCUGAAUCAGUGUGUGUGUUAGUGGAAGCGUCUGGAAAGGCGCGCGAUACAGGGUGACAGCCCCGUACACAAAAAUGCACAUGCUGUGAGCUCGAUGAGUAGGGCGGGACACGUGGUAUCCUGUCUGAAUAUGGGGGGACCAUCCUCCAAGGCUAAAUACUCCUGACUGACCGAUAGUGAACCAGUACCGUGAGGGAAAGGCGAAAAGAACCCCGGCGAGGGGAGUGAAAAAGAACCUGAAACCGUGUACGUACAAGCAGUGGGAGCACAGAGCAAUCUGUGUGACUGCGUACCUUUUGUAUAAUGGGUCAGCGACUUAUAUUCUGUAGCAAGGUUAACCGAAUAGGGGAGCCGAAGGGAAACCGAGUCUUAACUGGGCGUUAAGUUGCAGGGUAUAGACCCGAAACCCGGUGAUCUAGCCAUGGGCAGGUUGAAGGUUGGGUAACACUAACUGGAGGACCGAACCGACUAAUGUUGAAAAAUUAGCGGAUGACUUGUGGCUGGGGGUGAAAGGCCAAUCAAACCGGGAGAUAGCUGGUUCUCCCCGAAAGCUAUUUAGGUAGCGCCUCGUGAAUUCAUCUCCGGGGGUAGAGCACUGUUUCGGCAAGGGGGUCAUCCCGACUUACCAACCCGAUGCAAACUGCGAAUACCGGAGAAUGUUAUCACGGGAGACACACGGCGGGUGCUAACGUCCGUCGUGAAGAGGGAAACAACCCAGACCGCCAGCUAAGGUCCCAAAGUCAUGGUUAAGUGGGAAACGAUGUGGGAAGGCCCAGACAGCCAGGAUGUUGGCUUAGAAGCAGCCAUCAUUUAAAGAAAGCGUAAUAGCUCACUGGUCGAGUCGGCCUGCGCGGAAGAUGUAACGGGGCUAAACCAUGCACCGAAGCUGCGGCAGCGACACUGUGUGUUGUUGGGUAGGGGAGCGUUCUGUAAGCCUGCGAAGGUGUGCUGUGAGGCAUGCUGGAGGUAUCAGAAGUGCGAAUGCUGACAUAAGUAACGAUAAAGCGGGUGAAAAGCCCGCUCGCCGGAAGACCAAGGGUUCCUGUCCAACGUUAAUCGGGGCAGGGUGAGUCGACCCCUAAGGCGAGGCCGAAAGGCGUAGUCGAUGGGAAACAGGUUAAUAUUCCUGUACUUGGUGUUACUGCGAAGGGGGGACGGAGAAGGCUAUGUUGGCCGGGCGACGGUUGUCCCGGUUUAAGCGUGUAGGCUGGUUUUCCAGGCAAAUCCGGAAAAUCAAGGCUGAGGCGUGAUGACGAGGCACUACGGUGCUGAAGCAACAAAUGCCCUGCUUCCAGGAAAAGCCUCUAAGCAUCAGGUAACAUCAAAUCGUACCCCAAACCGACACAGGUGGUCAGGUAGAGAAUACCAAGGCGCUUGAGAGAACUCGGGUGAAGGAACUAGGCAAAAUGGUGCCGUAACUUCGGGAGAAGGCACGCUGAUAUGUAGGUGAAGCGACUUGCUCGUGGAGCUGAAAUCAGUCGAAGAUACCAGCUGGCUGCAACUGUUUAUUAAAAACACAGCACUGUGCAAACACGAAAGUGGACGUAUACGGUGUGACGCCUGCCCGGUGCCGGAAGGUUAAUUGAUGGGGUUAGCGCAAGCGAAGCUCUUGAUCGAAGCCCCGGUAAACGGCGGCCGUAACUAUAACGGUCCUAAGGUAGCGAAAUUCCUUGUCGGGUAAGUUCCGACCUGCACGAAUGGCGUAAUGAUGGCCAGGCUGUCUCCACCCGAGACUCAGUGAAAUUGAACUCGCUGUGAAGAUGCAGUGUACCCGCGGCAAGACGGAAAGACCCCGUGAACCUUUACUAUAGCUUGACACUGAACAUUGAGCCUUGAUGUGUAGGAUAGGUGGGAGGCUUUGAAGUGUGGACGCCAGUCUGCAUGGAGCCGACCUUGAAAUACCACCCUUUAAUGUUUGAUGUUCUAACGUGGACCCGUAAUCCGGGUUGCGGACAGUGUCUGGUGGGUAGUUUGACUGGGGCGGUCUCCUCCUAAAGAGUAACGGAGGAGCACGAAGGUUGGCUAAUCCUGGUCGGACAUCAGGAGGUUAGUGCAAUGGCAUAAGCCAGCUUGACUGCGAGCGUGACGGCGCGAGCAGGUGCGAAAGCAGGUCAUAGUGAUCCGGUGGUUCUGAAUGGAAGGGCCAUCGCUCAACGGAUAAAAGGUACUCCGGGGAUAACAGGCUGAUACCGCCCAAGAGUUCAUAUCGACGGCGGUGUUUGGCACCUCGAUGUCGGCUCAUCACAUCCUGGGGCUGAAGUAGGUCCCAAGGGUAUGGCUGUUCGCCAUUUAAAGUGGUACGCGAGCUGGGUUUAGAACGUCGUGAGACAGUUCGGUCCCUAUCUGCCGUGGGCGCUGGAGAACUGAGGGGGGCUGCUCCUAGUACGAGAGGACCGGAGUGGACGCAUCACUGGUGUUCGGGUUGUCAUGCCAAUGGCACUGCCCGGUAGCUAAAUGCGGAAGAGAUAAGUGCUGAAAGCAUCUAAGCACGAAACUUGCCCCGAGAUGAGUUCUCCCUGACUCCUUGAGAGUCCUGAAGGAACGUUGAAGACGACGACGUUGAUAGGCCGGGUGUGUAAGCGCAGCGAUGCGUUGAGCUAACCGGUACUAAUGAACCGUGAGGCUUAACCUUACAACGCCGAAGGUGUUU